GCACUAGGGGGUAACCCGGGUUUGGAUCCAUCAAAAGUAAGCAAAUCAGGAGUAACACCCGAAAAGUAUAAAAGAGCAGGAUUCAACCUUAACAUAAGAAAUCUAAUGAAAAAACAUCAUGUAUACGUUUAAAAAACCCAUCUCAGAUUAGAAAUUUUACAAAAGCAAAUCCAUGGCAACGGAAGGGAAUUUUGUCUUUCUUUUAUAAGAAAAAUAAAUGAUCGAAGAAAUGAAGUACAAAAAAUUAUCAAAUCAAUGGGAAUGCCUAGAAGUAAUUUCAACAUCCUAUUGCAAUAUCCCCGAGUGAUUUGAAUUUUCCACUUAUCGAAAAUAUCCCAUUAUUGAUACAUUCUCCACCGUGUUAGAUAGAUGAUUGAAUCAUAGUAACGGACACACAAGAUUUCCUUGCAAGACCCUAGAGUAUAUAGGGAAAAAACCAUGAGACAGACCCAAAAAGUCGAGUGUUCUGCAUCUUUAUUUUAAUGAUAAUGAAUCUUUGAAUCUGCCUCUGAUUUAUUCCCCUAUGAAAUGUCGAGAAUCAUACAAGAAUUAACCAAGAUUCAAAAAACCAAACAUUAACAGUAAAAGAAAAGUGCAAAAAAUGUAAAAUCAACGCAAGAGAUUUUUCGGCCGUAGCCCUAAAGGUUCGACAAUCACAUUAACGCCUAAUCUCCUGUUGAAUAUCAUUUAUAAACGGAUUUAGCUUGAUUGCACUAUAUAACCAAAAAUUGGCAGCAAGAUUACAAAGUGUUCUAUAAAUAUUACAAAACUUAAGUCACAAAGACUUAUCUUUUGAAAGAAUCACAACAUAGACUGCUUCCACGAAGGAAUCACACCAAAUCACUCAGAUCUCCUCAAAACACAAACUAUAAACAACGAAUCAUCAUAUUCUUGAAAGACAACCCAGAAUAGCACACUGAUAUUUCGAUUCACCAUAUUACAGAUUUCUCUCCAACAUUUAUUCAAUGGUACACUCAAAAAUAAGAACCCUAAUCCGCGAAAAAGAGGUUUUCACAGAGAGAGAACCAAGAGACGGACUUCAAAACUAAGAAUAAUCUCUCAAUCAAUAAAGAUGGAAGACUCUGGAAUCCAAUCAAAUGGUCACAAAAGACACCACGUGUUACAAUCUACUUCAAUGCCUCCACUAACAAAGGUGUCAUUUUAACACACGACUUCAAUACAUUUUCGAAGCACAACAUAAUAAGUAAUAAGUCAACAGUUUGAACCACGACAC
rnacentral:lncRNA from 1 species